rnacentral:rRNA from 1 species
UACAGAGGGGGCAAGCGUUGUUCGGAAUUACUGGGCGUAAAGGGCGCGUAGGCGGCCUGCUAAGUCGAACGUGAAAUCCCUGGGCUCAACCCAGGAACUGCGUCCGAUACUGGUUGGCUUGAAUCCGGGAGAGGGAUGUGGAAUUCCAGGUGUAGCGGUGAAAUGCGUAGAUAUCUGGAGGAACACCGGUGGCGAAGGCGACAUCCUGGACCGGUAUUGACGCUGAGGCGCGAAAGCCAGGGGAGCAAAUGGG